GAUGAACGCUGGCGGCGUGCCUAAUACAUGCGAGUCGAGCGAACAGACGAGGAGCUUGCUCCUCUGACGUUAGCGGCGGACGGGUGAGUAACACGUGGAUAACCUACCUAUAAGACUGGGAUAACUUCGGGAAACCGGAGCUAAUACCGGAUAAUAUAUUGAACCGCAUGGUUCAAUAGUGAAAGACGGUUUUGCUGUCACUUAUAGAUGGAUCCGCGCCGCAUUAGCUAGUUGGUAAGGUAACGGCUUACCAAGGCGACGAUGCGUAGCCGACCUGAGAGGGUGAUCGGCCACACUGGAACUGAGACACGGUCCAGACUCCUAAGGGGGGCAGCAGUAGGGAAUCUUCCGCAAUGGGCGAAAGCCUGACGGAGCAACGCCGCGUGAGUGAUGAAGGUCUUCGGAUCGUAAAACUCUGUUAUUAGGGAAGAACAAAUGUGUAAGUAACUAUGCACGUCUUGACGGUACCUAAUCAGAAAGCCACGGCUAACUACGUG
rnacentral:rRNA from 1 species